GUGCCAGCCGCCGCGGUAAUACCGGCGCCCCAAGUGGUCGUCACUAUUAUUGGGCCUAAAACGUCCGUAGCCGGUUUGGUAAAUCCGUGGGUAAAUCAGACAGCCCAACUGUCUGAAUUCUGCGGGGACUGCCAGACUUGAGACCGGGAGAGGUACGGGGUACCUCUGGGGUAGCGGUAAAAUGCGAUCAUCCCAGAGGGACCACCUGUUGCGAAGGCGCCGUACUAGAACGGAUCUGACGGUCAGGGACGAAGCCUAGGGGCACGAACCGGAUUAGAUACCCGGGUAGUCCUAGGUGUAAACGCUGUGGACUUGGUGUCGGGGACCUUCUGAGGGUUUCCGGUGCCGGAGUGAAGAUGUUAAGUCCACUGCCUGGGGAGUACGGUCGCAAGGCUGAA
rnacentral:rRNA from 1 species